AUUGAACGCUGGCGGCAGGCUUAACACAUGCAAGUCGAGCGCGAGGCGGACGGGUGAGUAAUGUCGGGGAAUCUGCCUGAUGGAGGGGGAUAACUACUGGAAACGGUCGCUAAUAACGCAUACCAGCAUAUGCGCCCAGAUGGGAUUAGCUAGUAGGUGGGGUAAUGUCUUCCCGAGGCGACGAUCCCUAGCUGGUCUGAGAGGAUGACCAGCCACAUGUGAACUGAGACACGGUCCAGACUCCUACGGGAGGCAGCAGUGGGGAAUAUUGCACAAUGGGCGCAAGCCUGAUGCAGCCAUGCCGCGUGUGUGAAGAAGGCCCUCGGGUUGUAAAGCACUUUCAGCGAGGAGGCGUUACUCUCAGAAGAAGCACCGGCUAACUCCGUGCCAGCAGCCGCGGUAAUAC
rnacentral:rRNA from 1 species